GGUCCUUCCUACGAAUUAGCCACCUCGUAAAAUACCUACGAUUUUCCCCAGUUCACGAUUUUAUUUUUUUGCAUUUCGCAUCGUGCAUUUGAGCGUGUUUGUGGAGAGGAAAACAAUCCCCAUAAUUGACUGUUUUCUGAGUAACUCCAGUAAGUUGCUCUCUGUGUUGAUUUUUAGUUGUAUGUAGAGGGCGGGACUCGAACUGAAAGGAACAAGGCGCGGCCAAGAACCCCUUCACACGUGUAGACAAAGAGACCAUCAACACAACCCAAACAUGCUGGAAAAGUUUUCCCGCGCGCUACCUCACGCCAGGACCUCGCGAAGCGCCCAGGCCAGCACGCACUGGAGAGCUCCUGUUCUAAACGCACGUCCUUUGAAGGAUUUAUUUAAUUAUUUUUCUGCUGUGGGAUUAUUGGACUAUCCGUAAUGAGAAUGAUUGCUUUCCACUUCUAGACACAGUGGAGCAACUAAAGUGCAUCUGUAGAUGGCAGGUCAGACGUGUGCGAUGCAUCUGGACACUCAAGCUGUGCUGAAAUAUCGCUCUCGCUCAGCUGAGAGUUCAGGAGUCACAUCAGGACACUCUGAGGCACAGAAACGGUUGCUCGUUCCACCAGCGGUUCACUUCUCUUUGUUUGCACGUGCAUCAGGAAUCUGCAGUCUACAUCUGACACACCUCAGAUUAGUCACUUUUCAUCAGAAUAAAACGACGAGCAGUGUCAGACACCUACUGACCUCAAAGUGACCAGCCUGAGUGAAACAGAGCUCAGUAAAUGACAUCAUUCAUGAGACUAAAGCAGGUGCUGAUCAUCUUAAAGGGACAGUGCGACUCAAAAAUGAUCAUCAUAUACUCAUGUUGUUCGAAACCAUUUUGAGUUUCUCUGCUCUGUGGAACAUGAAAGAAGAUAUUAUAAGUCAGUGGUACCCAAAUGGUGACCAAAACAGUUUGGUUACCAGCGUUCUUCAAAAUAUAUUCUUUUUUGUUCUGUAGUAUACAGUUUGGGAUAUUUUCAUUUUUGGGUGAACUGUCCCUUUAAGAGACCUAUUACUAAGCUCCACCCUUCUUGAAAAUUUAUUGUUCAGUAAAAAUGUGCCUAAAGUGGUAAACAUGGAUGAUACAUCCUUCCUUUCUGGACUGAAGUGAACUGUGACAAUGCAAAGCAUUUUGUAUGUUUUUCUUUAAAGAAGUUACACCGUAACAUGAAUCAGAAUGUCACUGAAAGGAGAAACGCC
rnacentral:lncRNA from 1 species